AAGCUCUAGGGACAGAAGGGAGGAGAGGUGGGGAGCAACCAGGAAGAGGGAACGGAUGCUGGGGGCAGGGAUAUUCUGAGAAACAACCCCAGGAUGGCUGUAUCUCUUUCUGCCUCCUACCUCCCUGUGUCGGUUGGCCUGUGGACGUGUGAUGCGGGAGGGCCAAGUGCACUGGAUGGUGUUAUCCAUGGACAGGUGUAAGAGAAGACUGAGCAAGCCCCGGGGAGCAAACCAGGAAGCAGCUCUCCAUGGUUCCUUCUUGAGUUUCUACCCUGGCUUUUCUCAACGAUAGACUGGUAAGCCAAACAAAUCCUUUCCUCGCCAAAUUGGGUUUUGGUCAUGAUGUUUCAUCCCAUCAACAGAAAGCAAACUAGGACAUUCCCCAAGCCAAGUCUCUGGACGAUCACCCAGGGUGGGGAAUGUUGGGAAAGGGUCUCCCCAACUCCACAGGAGAGCUGUGUGGGUGCUGAUGGAGGAAGAUGGAGAUCCCGAUUGAAUCUCGGAAGUACCUGCAGCCUCCCUCCAGCGGGGCAGCAUCCUAGCAGAGGUCACCGGGUCAUCAAGCUCCCGAAAGAAGCGUUUGAGUGUGUCAGUAACGUCUUCUACAAAGUGUUCCCGUGGUCUGAGCUUCACUGACCGGGCAUCCCGCCGAAACUCAGCCAAGAGUCGCAGGCUGCGGGCCCGAGCACCCCCUUUCCGAUACACACCUUCCAGCCGAAGCCCUGAAAACAGCAGCAGUGUCUGUUCAGUAUUAUGUGAAGACACAUUGCCGCCCACCCAGCAGGACCUCUGUCACCCUCCCCAUGGUGUGUGGCCGUUAAGAAAAUCCGCGGAUGCUCAAGUUUCUUAUAUAAAGUGAUGUAUUUAUAUAUAACCCCACAUAAGUCAUCUCUCUGGAUGACUUGUGAUACCUAACACGAUGUAAAGAAUGACCAAAAAUCCCUAUACAUAAUCUCUACAAUA